CAAGUCUCGUAUUCUCUCAGGUGUCUUCCGAGCGAUAAUGGCUGAAGUAAUUUUAAGGUCACAUUAAUGAUGGCAUUAUCUGAGUCCCAAAUACCACCCGACGCCCAGCAUUAUUUGGUGUGUGGCACUGAAGACUGUAAGAAGAACUGCCAGUUUUACUGCAAUGACUGUCACCAACCAAUGUGUGAACAAUGCAGAGAUGAACAUCAGAAGAAUAAGAAAACCAAUAACCACGAAAUUGUCCCUUAUAAAUUACGCAAACGACAACUUCCUUAGAGAAAUGCAAGAUCCACCCCACAAAAGAAAUAGAUCUUCUCUGUGGUGAAUGCCAAAUUCCCAUUUGUUCUAAAUGCACAGGCACCAAAGAACACCGCGCCCAUUGGUUUACCAACCUAGAAAUGGUCUUUGCCGAAAAGGUUUCGAUUUAUAACAAAGAAAUUGCCAACAUUCGAAGCUAUUUUGAGCCUACUUCUCAAGAUCUGAAAAAGGAAAUUGCAGGAGAUGUCACAGAAAUAAAGAAGAUUAUGGAGGGUAUAAGAACAUCCAUGAAAGCUGAAGCUGAGUCUGUGAAAAAGCUGGUAGACACACUAACAUCAGAUAAUAUAGAACAAGUCGCCAAAUUAGAACAGUCAUUAUUGCAAACAUUAAACGACCAAAACCAACAAAUAGAUGACUACAUCAAUUCUCUCAAUGAUUUAGUCAAAACGUUUUAUGGUUACCUAUCUCCCUCAAACAUAGAACAAUUAACAUUUGCCAUCAAAUCAGAAAACUUGGUCAUUAGACCCAUACCAGAGACAUCAAAACCAGUCCCACCCAUAUUUACUGUUGGUCAAUACAGCAAGGAAGAUGUCGCCAAACUACUAGGUAAAAUAACUGUCCCCACCACUAAACCAGAGAACAGAAAAAUAAAACCCAUGGAAACUGCGUCUACACAGUUGAAACCUACAGGGAAACAGAAGAAACAAGACAGAGAGAAAUCUGACGUGAAACAAACACUGUCUCUGUCUUUCUCUGUCACCAAGGUCAGAAAGUACACAGUACCAGGUGUUGAUGAUGUAUAUCAUAUAUCACUGGGUAAAUCAGGCAGACUGUGGUUCAGUGAUUAUGAUGGUAACCUUGUCCAAACAGAUCUACAGGGGAAUCAGCUACAGAAGAUACAAACCAGUUGUGGAUCUGGCUACCACACAGUCACACAGGACGGGGAUCUGAUCUAUACAGAUAAACGCAACAAAGUCAUCUAUAGGAUAACACCGGAUAAUACAAUCACUGAAUUCAUUAAAACAGGAGACUGGGAACCACUCAGUAUACACUCCUCCCACAUCAACCGGGACAUACUGGUGGGGAUGUGGAAGGAUGGAGAGGGUAAAGUCACCAGGUACAACAAGACAGGGACAGAAAUACAGAACAUACAGAGAGACAACAAAGGACAGGCACUGCGUACUUACCCACACUACAUCACAGAAAACAUCAAUGGUGAUGUCUGUGUAUCAGACUGUGGGAUAGAUGCUGUAGUGGUGAUGGAUAAAUCAGGACAACACAGGUUCUCCUACAAAGGUCAGGGGUCAGGGUUUACUCCCUAUGGAAUAUGUACUGAUGUUCUCGGUCACAUCCUGAUAUGUGAUUAUGGCAGUGAAACAGUUCAUCUUCUGGAUCAGGACGGUCAGUUCCUGUCUCUACUACUCACAUUACAACAAGGGGUAGAACAUCCCCGUAGUGUGUGUUUGGAUGGUGAGAACAAUCUCUGGGUGGGACAACGUAACACCAACACAGUGACAGUGUACAAGUAUCUACAGUGAACAUUGCAUAUCCAUACAUCCUUUAGGUACUGUGUGUUUAUGUUACUAUAACAUCAUGUUAGUGCACAAUAACUGAUAUUUACACGUACAGUACUUAUUAUAAUUUAUACAAUGACUCAUGUAUAACCUGUGUGCUAUUCUCUAAUAUCAAUUCAUGGAUUAUUGUUCAUUGCUGGAGAAUUGACGAAUAAAUAUAUAAACU
rnacentral:misc_RNA from 1 species